AAUAGGAGAAUAACAAAUCAGAUUUUUUCUCCUGAUUUUUAGUUUUUUCCUCGUAAAAAAAUUUAAAUCCAACUAAAAACACUAAAAGUCAAAGGGAAAAAUCUGAUUUGCUAUUUUUCUAUU
rfam:Gossypium hirsutum cultivar TM-1 unplaced genomic scaffold scaffold480.1, whole genome shotgun sequence